AAACUGUUCCCACUCGAACAAGAGCUAUUCAAUUGUGCACGUGUUUCUUUAGGCUUGAAUUUAACCAGUAAAGUCAGUUUUAUAUGAGACGAAAGAAAGAUGAACUUGAUUUCAGCCACUCACGUUGUCGAUACCGUCUUUUCUUGCUCGCACACAAAAUAAUUACGGAAUUGAACAAAAAUAACGGCGCCGUUCUAUAAAUUAUAUGAGCCAACAUAAUUGAUUGGUAGCACGCAAAA